AGCUCAGGUGUGCGGUUUGUAUCAGUGGGAGUCAUGUGCAGCCAGUUGAGGGAGCUGUAAAAGAAAUACUGGGUUACUUUGAAAAAAACUAUGCGAAGACUCAAUUUAGCCAGGACAAGGAAAUGAUCUGUCGAGGUCUGCUGCUGCCCAUCCCCACGGACCCCUCACUCAAAGUGGACGUGGGAAAACUCCAGUGUCCUUUGCUGCUGGUUGUAGGAGAAGAUGAUCAGAACUGGCCGGCCCAUGAGUCUGCAAUGGAUGUGAGUUUACUGACAUGACAACAUCCUGUGUGAAUCACAAGCUUGCUCCAGAUGUUUGAAUUCGCAGGAUGACAAAGCUCUACUGAUUGCUGCGAGGAAACAGAAUGGUUACUGUGACAUAUGGCAUUACAACAUGGCCAGAUAAAUAACAAAAUUAGACACUAAAAGUAAAUUCACUUAAAAGAUAGAGUAAUAAUGAAAAAACACUGUGAAAUAAUUAAUCAGCGUAUUAAAACUUAACUGUUUUUCACAUAGUGAAUAGUUAUUGUAAUACUGUCUCAGAUGGAUUUUAUGUCAAAAACCAAGGAAAACAUAAAGGGAUAUCAUAAUGAAUUGAGCAAACUGUUUUCUGAUUUCACGCAAUUACACAC